rnacentral:rRNA from 1 species
AGUGAACGCUGGCGGUAGGCCUAACACAUGCAAGUCGAACGGCAGCACAGUAAGAGCUUGCUCUUACGGGUGGCGAGUGGCGGACGGGUGAGGAAUACAUCGGAAUCUACUUUUUCGUGGGGGAUAACGUAGGGAAACUUACGCUAAUACCGCAUACGACCUACGGGUGAAAGCAGGGGAUCCUCGGACCUUGCGCGAUUGAAUGAGCCGAUGUCGGAUUAGCUAGUUGGCGGGGUAAAGGCCCGCCAAGGCGACGAUCCGUAGCUGGUCUGAGAGGAUGAUCAGCCACACUGGAACUGAGACACGGUCCAGACUCCUACGGGAGGCAGCAGUGGGGAAUAUUGGACAAUGGGCGCAAGCCUGAUCCAGCCAUACCGCGUGGGUGAAGAAGGCCUUCGGGUUGUAAAGCCCUUUUGUUGGGAAAGAAAAGCAGCAGGUUAAUACCCCGCUGUUCUGACGGUACCCAAAGAAUAAGCACCGGCUAACUUCGUG